AAAAAGAUAAGCUAAUUAAAGCUAGUAGGUUCAUACCCUAUAUAUAGAAGUAAAAUCUUCUUCUUUUUA
rnacentral:tRNA from 1 species